UACGAAGGGGGCUAGCGUUGUUCGGAAUUACUGGGCGUAAAGCGUUUGUAGGCGGUCUUUUGAGCCAGUGGUGAAAGCCCAAGGCUCAACCUUGGAAUUGCCAUUGGUACUGGAAGGCUAGAGAAUGUUAGAGGAAAGUGGAAUUCCUAGUGUAGGAGUGAAAUCCGUAGAGAUUAGGAGGAAUAUCGAUGGCGAAGGCAGCUUUCUGGGACAUUUCUGACGCUGAGAAACGAAAGCGUGGGUAGCAAACAGG
rnacentral:rRNA from 1 species